UACGUAGGCAGCGAGCGUUGUUCGGAUUUACUGGGCGUAAAGGGCGCGUAGGCGGCAAUUCAAGUCAUCUGUGAAAUCUCCGGGCUUAACUCGGAACGGUCAGAUGAUACUGCUUUGCUAGAGUGCGGAAGGGGCAAUCGGAAUUCUUGGUGUAGCGGUGAAAUGCGUAGAUAUCAAGAGGAACACCUGAGGUGAAGACGGGUUGCUGGGCCGACACUGACGCUGAUAGCGCGAAAGCCAGGGGAGCAAACGGG
rnacentral:rRNA from 1 species